CGGCUCUACACCGCAGGCGUUCACUGCGCUCAGAGAGGAAGCCUGCAGCGGACGCAACACGCCGAACAGGUCCAUCUGUGUUUCUCGCUCUUCCUCUGUGCUACACGCUGAAGAACAGGAUCCUACACGCAGAUCUCAUCAGGUGUUUGUCCCACUGAGAGACUCUUCAGGGUCCUGAAGCCACCUCCUAGAUACGCCACCAAUCAUCGCUGGAGUACCACCACCUAGACAGGAGUAAGGAGUGA
rnacentral:lncRNA from 12 species